AGCGAACGUUUGCGGCGGGCCUAACACAUGCAAGUCGAACGGGUUGGCAACAACCAGUGGCGCACGGGUGCGUAACACGUAGGUAAUCAACCCCUUGGUUUGGGAUAACGCUCCGAAAGGAACGCUAAUACCGGAUCCGUCGUCGGGAGCUUCGGCUUCUGGCGAGAAAGACCCGCAAGGGUUGCCGAGGGACGAGCCUGCGGCCCAUCAGCUAGUUGGUGAGGUAAAACGCUCACAAAGGCGAAGACGGGUAGCUGGUCUGAGAGGAUGAUCAGUCACACUGGAACUGAGACACGGUCCAGACUCCUACGGGAGGCAGCAGUGGGGAAUAUUGCGCAAUGGGCGAAAGCCUGACGCAGCCACGCCGCGUGAGCGAUGAAGGCCUUCGGGUCGUAAAGCUCUGUGGGUAGAGAAGAAGAAAGCUUGUGAAGAGCAGGCCUUGACGGUAUCUCCUUAGCAAGCACCGGCUAACUCCGUGCCAGCAGCCGCGGUAAUACGGAGGGUGCGAACGUUGCUCGGAAUUAUUGGGCGUAAAGCGCGCGUAGGCGGCGGCAUAAGCGGAAUGUGAAAGCCCAGGGCUCAACCCUGGAAGUGCAUCCCGAACUGUGUCGCUUGAAUCUCGGAGGGGGACAGAGAAUUCCCGGGUGUAGAGGUGAAAUUCGUAGAUAUCGGGAGGAAUACCAGUGGCGAAGGCGCUGUCCUGGACGAAGAUUGACGCUGAGGUGCGAAAAGCGUGGGGGAGCAAACAGGAUUAGAUA
rnacentral:rRNA from 1 species